rnacentral:rRNA from 1 species
AUGCUUAACUCUCGCUGCAGAGGCUUCAACCUCCUGGCUGGCUGCAAGCUGCUCGCACCUCCUAGCUGGCUGCAGCCUCAUCUUGGCCAACUACAGGCUGCUGGCUCUUCCUGGCCAGCUGUACUCUUCUGGCUCUUCCUGGCCAGCUGCACUCUCCUGGCCGACAACAGGCUGUUGGUUGCUCCAAGCUGCUCCUGGCCGGCUGCUGGCUGCAGGCUGUUGGCUAUGGGCUGCUGGAUGCUGGCCGCUUGGUCUUCAGCCUCCAUUGCCGCCUCAGGCUCUGCCACUACCACGUCUGGUCAUUCGAUUUCUCAAGCCUUAACCGACAAUGUUCAACUCCACCUCUUCAAGCUUCGCCCGACAAUGUUCGGCGCUGCCUCUUUAGGCUCGGCAGACUCGCCGCGGCCGCUUCAAUGA